UCAUCUUGCAUCCGGGGCCUUUUCCCGGCCUUGGCGGGGUGGGAAAUGGGGUCGCCUAGCAGCCUUCGCUGCUAUCUUUCGCUCCGGACCAGGUGGCGGGAUCUAGGGUUCUGCUGUCACCGCGCUAGGGAGCGGUCAGGCUGGGCGGCGGGGCCAGGCUCGGGGGUUGCAGUAAAUGAGACACCGCUGCUGGUUGCCAGACUUGGUGUAGAAGGUAAAGCAUAGUGAAAUAAUUCAAGAUGGCCCCUAAUAUAAACUGGAAAGAAAUCACGAAAGUUGACCCAGAUGACCUUCCUCAUCAAGAAGAAUUGGCAGAUAAUUUACUGAUUUCCUUAUCUAAGUUGUUUAGAUGAAAGCUCAAGAGGUAGAGCUAGCUUUAGAAGUUGAAAAGGCUGGAGAAGAGCAAGCAAAAUUUGACAGACAGAUUUGAAGAGUCCUGGGAGCUGAUCUCCAGGGAUUACACACCUGUUCCCAGCAUGUGCAGCAGUCCCUAAGAAUACGAACCGUGCUGAAAACCCUUCUCUGAUAUAAGAACCAUUUCCUACCUUCCAUGAGAUUCAGUGCAUAGGAGGAGGGUAGCUCCAGAGGGGAGCUGCCAGGUCACCUGAUUGGUAUUUGUGAAAAGUUUCUGUCCCUUACUGCAAGUUACAGGUAAAGCACCUUGUCAAACGUGAUGGACCCAGGUUUCCUCUGCCCAGCCUCUUCCUAAAACCCGGCUCUUCUUGUUCAACCUGGGCAGUCCUGGGAAAAACAUUGUCCAGUUUUUCCUUACUCUGUUGUGGCCUUAAUAUUAAUUUUGGUGACUUAAUCAUUUACAUUCAAUGGGUCCAAUAUCCCAUUUAAGGUUAAUCCAGGCUUUCAGGAAACCUUCUGUUUUAAGAUCAGCUGAUAGGAUUCAGUCACUAAUUAAUUCAACAACGAUUUGAGUACUUUCUCUAUGUUAGACACUGUUCUGGAGUCUCUAAACUCAAAGAUGAAUGAGAGACAUGGUCCCUACCCUUAAACUGCUCACAGUUGAGUGGAAGAAGCCCUAGGCCAUGGAAAUCACCUAUGUGGGGCAGUGUUUGAGGCCACUGUUGACUUGCCUAAGCCCGGGCUCCUUGAGAUGUGGUCACCUGGGAAUUGCUUAGAAAUGCACAGUAUCGGGCCCCUCUUCCAGAUGUACUGAGCCAGAGCUCAGGAGCCCAGCAAUCUGGGUUUUUACAGGCCCUGCAAAAGAUGAUGAAAUUUAUUUUUAUUUGGGAAUUUCUGAUCUGAGCUCUACACUGAAUCACUCCCAGCAUGUGUGGAAGACCUACCAGCCAUCCUCAGUCUUCCUUUCACAAUUCCCCUUCUCAGGGAGCUACUUGGAGUAACAGGAAACACCAACCCAGGGAGAUACUGUCCAAAAUGAAGUAAAAUGCUCUUUUGUCACUAAUGGCAAU